CCUACGGGAGGCAGCAGUGAGGAAUAUUGGUCAAUGGGCGAGAGCCUGAACCAGCCAAGUCGCGUGAAGGAUGAAGGAUCUAUGGUUUGUAAACUUCUUUUAUAUGGGAAUAAAGGGAGGAACGUGUUCCUUUUUGUAUGUACCAUAUGAAUAAGCAUCGGCUAACUCCGUGCCAGCAGCCGCGGUAAUACGGAGGAUGCGAGCGUUAUCCGGAUUUAUUGGGUUUAAAGGGUGCGUAGGUGGUUAAUUAAGUCAGCGGUGAAAGUUUGUGGCUCAACCAUAAAAUUGCCGUUGAAACUGGUUGACUAGAGUAUAUUUGAGGUAGGCGGAAUGCGUGGUGUAGCGGUGAAAUGCAUAGAGAUCACGCAGAACUCCGAUUGCGAAGGCAGCUUACUAAACUAUAACUGACGCUGAAGCACGAAAGCGUGGGGAUCAAACAGGAUUAGAUACCCCUGUAGUC
rnacentral:rRNA from 1 species